rnacentral:rRNA from 1 species
UGGGUUUAGACCGUCGUGAGACAGGUUAGUUUUACCCUACUGUAGGUAUUAUUAAGAAAAGUUAUAUAGUACGAGAGGAACAAUAAGUGAUGACCACUGGUGUAGCGAUUAAUUAUUCAAUUAUGUUGCAAAACUACGUCAUGAAUAAUAAAUGCUGAAAGCCUCUUAAGCAUGAAGUUAAUCUUAAUGAUAUAUUAUACUGAGGAAAACUACCUCUCUGAAGAAUGGGACUGUAAGAAUGAAGGUGUAUACCGACAUUUUGAGGUUACCAUUUCGUUCUAUGA